rnacentral:rRNA from 1 species
CUUCACUGUAUCUUGGCACUGGCUUUAGGUUUGGCAUGUGUAGGAUAGGUGGGAGGCUUUGAAGCAGGGACGCCAGUCCUUGUGGAGCCAUCCUUGAAAUACCACCCUUGCCCAAUUUGAGGUCUAACCGCGAUCCGUAAUCCGGAUCCGGGACAGUACCUGGCGGACAGUUUGACUGGGGCGGUCGCCUCCCAAAAAGUAACGGAGGCAUCCAAAGGUUCCCUCAGACCGGUCGGUAAUCGGUCGUAGAGCAUAAAGGCAGAAGGGAGCUUGACUGCGAGGCGGACACGCCGAGCAGGUACGAAAGUAGGGCUUAGUGAUCCCGCGGUUUAGCGUGGAAUUGCCGUUGCUCAAUGGAUAAAAGGUA